CUUCAGCUCAAAAUACCUGGUUUAGGYACUCAUUGCACUGGAUGGAAGCAGCCAGGUCAGGUGACUGAGCCCAUCACUGCUGCAGUGGUUUUUUGCAUUGUUAGCUUUCUGUCAGUUCAGUGAACUGAGUUUUGCUCAUGAAGACAUCUCCAGUGCUGGAUACACCAGCAGAGUACAGAGUAACUGGGAUUGAGACUGGCCCUUUUGGGGGUGUUAAGUUAAACCAGUCAGUCUGGUUUACUCAAUCCUGGUGCCCCUUCUUCCCUUCACUGGUGCAACCCUGUGAUYUCUGGAUUUCUGCCAUUUGCAGGAGUCUCCCUGGUGACUGAAGAAGUGGAGACCAGGCCUUCCAGCACAAUCCAUGCAGCGCUGUUUGCCACUGAUGAGAUAGAUGUUCUGGAGAAAGCACAUGAACAGGUGUUUUAGUGACUGGAGAAGAAAUGUAUGCUUCUCAGAAGCACACAAGCUAUUUUGCUCUUCAGCAGUGUCCCUGCUCGGCUCAAGGACAGAGGACACCUGGGUGGAGAAAAUCAGUCAGGAGACUAAGGAGAGGCAUGGAAGAAAGCCUCUGAAGCAGGAUGGAAUGGCAGAAAGGCUGUGUUUUCUCAAGGGAUCUGUGAAAUGAGACAAACUUGCUGUCUUUUCUGCAGUAGUUUGGUCCCAGCUGGCUGUGUUGUGCCCUGCAUCAGCCCCAGAGAGCCUGUGUCAUGAGGCAGGAGACCUUUCAGCUGGAGAAGUCAGCCACAGUUCAAGCUUGGCCCAGAUUCUGAGGUAAGGGGUAAAUCUGCCAUUGUUUCUCAAGCACAGCAGUAACAGCAGCAGGGUCAGGGUUGUGGAUGGCAGCACAGCCAUGUGGCACAGAGCUGCUGGGGGUUCUACAUCCUCACCCCUGCCCAUGUGUCUCCCCUUGGGGAAUGGUUACAAAAGUUUCUCUGCAACUUUGAUGGCACUUGCUAUCUUUUAYUGGACUCCCAUAUACUCAUAACUUUAGUUGAUUAUGGCAGAAA